rnacentral:rRNA from 1 species
UACGAAGGGGGCUAGCGUUGCUCGGAAUCACUGGGCGUAAAGCGCACGUAGGCGGAUCGUUAAGUCAGGGGUGAAAUCCUGGAGCUCAACUCCAGAACUGCCCUUGAUACUGGCGACCUUGAGUUCGGGAGAGGUGAGUGGAACUGCGAGUGUAGAGGUGAAAUUCGUAGAUAUUCGCAAGAACACCAGUGGCGAAGGCGGCUCACUGGCCCGAUACUGACGCUGAGGAACGAAAGCUAGGGGAGCAAACAGG